rnacentral:rRNA from 1 species
CACGUAGGGGGCGAGCGUUGUCCGGAUUUAUUGGGCGUAAAGAGCUCGUAGGCGGCUCGGUAAGUCAGGUGUGAAAACUCUAGCUCAACCUAGAGACGCCACCUGAUACUGCUGUGGCUAGAGUCCGGUAGGGGAGCAUGGAAUUCCUGGUGUAGCGGUGAAAUGCGCAGAUAUCAGGAAGAACACCUAUGGCGAAGGCAGCUCUCUGGGACGGUACUGACGCUGAGACGCGAAAGCGUGGGGAGCGAACAGG